rnacentral:piRNA from 1 species
UGCCAAUUUCUCUAUUUGUGA